GCUGGACGUGGUGGUGUACACCUGUAGUCCCAGCUACUCAGGAGGCUGAGGCAGGAGGAUCACUUGAGCCCAGGAGGUCGAGGCUGCAGUGAGCCAUGAUCAUGCCACUGCACUCCAGCCUGGGUGACAGAGUGAGACCUUGUCUCUA
ensembl:misc_RNA Metazoa_SRP Metazoan signal recognition particle RNA